CCCACACGAAAGCCUUCUUUAAUUCCUCUUAAGAUAUAAGCCACAUACUCUUUGUCUGGGUGAUCUUUAAGUAGUUCCGCCCACGCCUCCAGAAUUAGUGGGGUAGAACUUCUCCCCAUCACCUCUCGAACCUGUGGUGGGCGGUAACUGUCCAGCUGUGAGAGGUGAGUGGUAUACUGAUGACAGCCCUCCACCACCAUACCCCUGAGAAAGCCAAGGCCUAGAGAGAGGGAAAAACAGCAGAAGGAUCACACCCCAUCUAGGUGGAGCUGCCACACCUCCCUCCCCCCGACUGCCCCCUCAAGAUUCCCCCUCACUGGCCUACCCCCACCAUGGGGAGAUUGGACUACUGCUUUUAUGCAGUUAGCUAUGUCACUGUCUGUGUUCAGAGUGUACGGGAAGAGGUGACUGUCUAGGAUCUGAUAUGGGAUACUCAGUCUUCCCAAAUUUCCAUCCCUUGCACUUGGGUCUUAUUAACUAUUUCCUCCUGAUUGUGUGUGAGUUCUCUCCACAGGCUGCUGUGCAGUCCCCUUAUCAAUGGGACACUACCCCAGCCUUACCUUAUAUUACCUAUAUUAUAGUUAAUGUAUCUUUUCUUAGGCAACAGGUAUAUUAUUUACCUUUGCCCAUAUAGGGGGACCCCCUACCUGAGCUUCUAAUAACUGUCUGUGCUUAAUGGUAUUCAUUGUAUUAAUUCAAUCACAAUUGUUUUUAUCAUUAAAUUAACUUUAUCAACAAAUCAAUUUAAAUCACCGGGA